rnacentral:rRNA from 1 species
CCCGCACAAGCGGAGGAGCAUGUGGUUUAAUUCGAUGGUACGCGAGGAACCUUACCAGGGCUUGACAUGUGCCGGAAGCGCACCGAAAGGUGCGUGCCGCUUGCGGCCGGCGCACAGGUGCUGCAUGGCUGUCGUCAGCUCGUGCUGUGAAGUGUUGGGUUAAGUCCCGCAACGAGCGCAACCCCUGCUGCCUGUUGCCACCACGAGAGGUGGGGACUCAGGCGGGACCGCCGGUGACAAACCGGAGGAAGUGGGGACGACGUCAAGUCAUCAUGGCCCUUAUGUCCUGGGCUACACACGUGCUACAAUGGCCGGUACAGAGCGCAGCGAGGCCGCGAGGCGGAGCGAAUCGCUUAAAGCCGGUCCCAGUACGGAUUGGAGUCUGCAACCCGACUCCAUGAAGUUGGAAUCGCUAGUAAUCGCGCAUCAGCCAUGGCGCGGUGAAUACGUUCCCGGGUCUU